CUCUUUUCCUCCAGGCAGCUCCACACACCCACCAACAUCCUCCUCCUCUCUCUGGCUGUCUCAGAUUUACUUGUGGGCCUCCUGUUGAUGCCAGCAGAUACUGCAGCCUGGCUCCUGUGAGGCCAACAUACUGUAGAGAAGCUGUGGAAGGAGGACAUAAUGAAAUUGACUGUGACCUUCUUCCUGUGUGGGACCUGUAAAUGUUUUUUUGAGUGUUUCACAGGUCUGCCUGUCUGGGCCACAUGAAAUACUCAAA